rnacentral:SRP_RNA from 1 species
UGCCGGGUCCUACGCGACGUAACCCCGCCAAUCCCGCCAGGUCCGGAAGGAAGCAACGGUAACGGGUCGUUACGGGCGCAGUGGGUCGCCCGGUACAU